GACGAACGCUGGCGGCGUGCUUAACACAUGCAAGUCGAACGGCAAGGCCCUGCUUUUGUGGGGUGCUCGAGUGGCGAACGGGUGAGUAACACGUGAGUAACCUGCCCUUGACUUUGGGAUAACUUCAGGAAACUGGGGCUAAUACCGGAUAGGAGCCCCUGCUGCAUGGUGGGGGUUGGAAAGUUUCGGCGGUAGGGGAUGGACUCGCGGCUUAUCAGCUUGUUGGUGGGGUAGGGGCUUACCCAGGCUUUGACGGGUAGCCGGCCUGAGAGGGUGACCGGCCACAUUGGGACUGAGAGACGGCCCAGACUCCUACGGGAGGCAGCAGUGGGGAAUAUUGCACAAUGGGCGGAAGCCUGAUGCAGCAACGCCGCGUGCGGGAUGACGGCCUUCGGGUUGUAAACCGCUUUCGCCUGUGACGAAGCGGGAGUGACGGUAAUGGGUAAAGAAGCACCGGCUAACUACGUG
rnacentral:rRNA from 1 species